rnacentral:lncRNA from 1 species
UGUCAUCCACCCUGUGCAGACAUAUGCCUUGUACUAUUGGUGUUUCCAUUACGCCAAACGAAUUCUGGAAACAUUUUUCGUGCAUCGCUUCAGCCACGCAACCUCUCCCCUUUCCAACGUUUUCCGCAACUGUGCAUAUUACUGGACCUUUGGCUCGUAUAUUGCUUAUUAUGUGAACCAUCCACAUUAUACCCCCGUAAGUGACCUUCAAAUUAAGAUCGGGUUUGGGUUUGGGAUGCUCUGUCAAAUUUCGAAUUUCUAUUGCCAUAUUAUAUUGAGGAAUCUCCGUGGACCUGCUGGAGAAGGUGGAUAUCAAAUCCCACGUGGCUUUCUCUUCAAUAUCGUUACUUGUGCAAACUAUACGACAGAGAUCUACCAGUGGUUGGGCUUCAACAUUGCAACGCAAACCAUUGCCGGUUAUAUAUUCCUCGCUGUUGCUACUUUUAUCAUGACCAACUGGGCUCUUGCUAAGCACAGGCGCUUGAAGAAGGUCUGUCUCCUUACCUUUUCUUUCGCUGUUCACUAAUUCAGUUUGUGCUGUGUAUGUUAUUAUAAUAUAACAUUAAAGUUUUUUUUUAAAGUAAAUAAGAAAACUUACCUAAUAAAAAUAAUAAGUAACAGUUUCAAGGGCCUGUUUGUAUGACUUAUUUGUGCUUAUCUACUGACAUAAAUACUUGUGAGACUGUUUGGGAGAGGUUACGACGUGUCCAUAAAGUUGGUUUCAUGUUUUUUCCAUAAGCUCUUCAGGAUAACUUUAUAUAACUUUUAUAUGAAAACACUUUGACUUCAUUUUAUCUUUUGUUAUACAAAUAGGUUUUACCUAAACACUUAUAUAAUAAGGGCUUAUGAUAUCAGUGCUCAAUUAAGUUGUUUGUCCAAAGAUGGCCUAAGCGUACAUAUGAUAUCAGUAACUUGGUUGUUUGACUCAUGAUGCUACUUCUUUCAGCUGCAACAUUCGUUGAACAUAAUAUAAGUGUGUGAUGCAAAUGUUUAUUGCUUGGCUAUGCUGUUGCUAGGUCAACUAAGGGUGUGUUUGGUAAGUCCAAUAAGCUAGCUUAUAGCUUAUUGGACUAGCAUAUAAGCUUGUUUGAAAAAAAUAAAAGUGUUUGGUAAAAAGCUUUUCUCACGAGCUUAUAGCUUUUUUUGAGAUGCUAUUUCAAGUAGCGUUUGAGCUUAUAGCUUUUUACAGUUUUUUCCAUUGUUAACCUUUAAUUUAAUUUUAUUAUUUUUUAUAAAAUAAAAAACCACCCACUAAAACAAAAACUACCCACUACAUAUAAAUGUCCUUUUAUGUCUUUAUAUUUAUCGAUCAUUUAAAAAGCUAAUUUUACCAAACACUUUAAUUUCAAUUAGCUAGCUUUUCAGCUAUCAGCUAUAAGCUAGCUUAUAGCUUAACUUUACCAAACAGAGCCUAAAUUUGGUUCAUGUGUUGCUUGGAUAAAUUUAAUAAUCUUAUUAAAUAGAAAAUACUAUAAAAUGAACCAAUAUUGUUAAUUUUUUGCGUUCUUUACAUCAUUUAAUAGAGUCAUGCAUCUUAUCUUUGGUGUACCUGCAGUUGUUUGAUGGAAAGGAAGGGAGACCGAGGUAUCCUCGCCGAUGGGUGAUAUUGCCUCCAUUCCUGUAGAAGCCUAAGCCACUAGCAAUUACGAGGUCACCGUUAUGUGCUCACAGGAUUCUGAGACUUAGAAAUAUAGCAUAAUGAACCUUUAGUCAAUUAUUCCUCUAGAUAUGAAUUUGUCUUUCAAUGUUUGAUCUAUGAAGUUGAUUUCCAAGUUAUUUCAAGUUGUUUUUAUUGGAUAUUUGUAAUCGUUUAUCUUAUUGAGGAAUCUUGUUUCUUAAGAAUCUUAUUUGAUGUUUCUAUUGUAUUUUGGUUGGCUUCCUCCUUUAAUGUCUGCAUAAUAAGAGUUCAAUUUCUAGCUCAAACACAGCAACGCUAAAGCUUCAAAAUUACUGGUCUUUUAAUAUAUUUUUCCCCUAAAUUUGUAUUUUUUUAACAAGAUCAAAUAGAAAAGCUGAUUUGAGUUUAUCUUUUGCAAAGCUUACAAGAACAGUUGAUAUGUAUAUCCAUAAAUUGUUUCCAUCUUUUUGAUAAGUUGGUCACCAGCUCAUAGAGAUAUGAUAAGGACUUAUUGUAUUAAGCAUUCAACUAAGUCUAUAUUUGGUUCCAUUAAUAUAUGAAACAUAAAUCGUUUUAUCUUCAAUUUAAUUCUAGUAAAAAAAAAUUCUAGUCAGAAUCAAUAUUUUUUUUUUUUUACUUUUACCACCAGUUUAAUCUAAUUCGAGGGUCAGUUCUAGCAUCACAUAGUUUUAGCCCCCUCCUGAUCGCAGUUGCGGGGAUCGAACCGUGGUCAUUCCUACCAAGUUCAGUGUCAAUCAUAACUAAACUAACUAGCUAUUGGUAGUGAGAAUCAAUUUUACAUAAUUGAUUUAAUAAUUCUGGUUAGCUUAGAACCAAACAUCCUAAAGUAAUCUAAGUCAGAUCUCUUUCUCCUUAUCUAUAGGAUGCAAAUUGUAUCUUGACACAAGUUUAGCUGCAUCUUGAAUUAAUUAAUGAGGAAGAGUUAACAACAUUUUGUUUUCUAAUAUUCUUUAACAUUCACUCUCUUGUUGUUUCAAAUUAAUGUAAGUUCCGCCAUUUUAUGUGUGACUCAUUUCUAAAGUACGAGAUCUAUGUUAGUUAAUUAUACUCAAUAAGAGAAUGAAUGUUAAAAAGAGCGUUCUUAACAGUCCUCUUAUUUAUAAGGCCAAACCCGAGAAUCCAAGAUUAAAAGCCAUUACGUGUGCUUCUAACAUGCCUGAAAAUUGUUAUCAUCAAAACCUAGGUUGAUCAGAUGAUGCUCCCAGAAUCCCCAUAUUACCAUUCCAUAUCAUCAUCAUCAUCAUCAUCACCUGUAAGUCAAUAAAAUAUGGUAUGCUUCUAGCAACACCAAUAGCUUGGACCACUUAAUUUUGUCUUCUUCUCCAAUUUCUUGGUAAGUGCUAGAUUUAAAUUUAAUACUUCAUUUUUCUAUCCUUGUUUUGGUGUUCUGGUGUUUGUGAGCAUUUUUGGCCUCGAUAGAGUGUUUUGCCAUGCUAGUGCAGUGCAGAGAAUUGUAUCUUUGUUGCUAUUCAAGUACAUUUUGGGUUUGUCUUUGUUUUAGCAAUGCUUCUUUGUAAUAGGUUGUGUUUUGAUGUGUGUUACCUUUAUCUUUUGUUUUACAUUAUUCUACUUAUUUGUUUUGAUAUGUUCUACUUUCUCUAAAUUUAAUUGAAAAAGUGUGUUUUUGUUAGGUUGAAAAAUGGUUAGAGGAAAAAACAAUUCAAUCAUUGCAUCACACACCGGCAACAAACUCACAUACUAAUGUUGAAAGUGUUGAUAAAGAUGAACAACAUAUAGAGCCAUCCAGUGUGCAACUUGUCCAACCACCUCCUUGCAAAGCUCCUAGGAAGGAUACAACAAUGCAUUCAAGUCAUUUAAUGCAUGUGACAUUUGCAGUCUUGUUGAGAAGUUUUAUCCAUCAGAUUUUUCUAUUCAAGAAAGGAUUCAGUUGGAAUAUGAGUUGCAACAUUAUGAGUUUGUGGUGCUUAAAGAUGUUAACUUUCAAAAUCUGCCCACUAUUGGUGAAUUGUGUCAAAAAUUAGUUGAGACAAGUAAAUCAAAUUCGUACCCAUUGAUUGAUCGGGUGCUACGACUUGUUUUGACUCUUCCUGUCAACAGCAACCACUGAACGUGCCUUUUCAGUGAUGAAAAUGAUAAAAACAAGGCUGCGUAGCAAGAUGGGAGAUGAUUUUCUAAAAAAUUACAUGAUUGUUUAUAUUGAAGAUGAGAUUGCUGAAAAGUUCACCUCGGAUAUGAUAAUUGACGAGUUUGACAUUGUGAAACCAAGGCGAUUAGAUCAUCAAAAGUGAAGGUUAGUUUUUAUUUUAUAUUUGUACGACUAUAUUGACUUUGGAUAAUACUUAUAUGUUCUUAAAUUUCUUAUAUAUGUAGUAAUGCAUUUGAAAAUUUACCUUUUCUAUAUACUAAAUUAUAUCUUUUAGACUCGGUCCCCCUAUGUUUAAAUUGCCUCUCACAUUUUUUGCAUUUGGAACGUGUAAUUGUAACUCGCAGUGAACAGACAUACAAACACACUACCAAUCUCCAGAGAAUCAAAAUCCAAUCUAUUAAAUUCAAAAUUAUAUAUACUAGAGUCAGAAAAAAAGGAGCAAAACAGAUCACAUUUAUACAUAAUCUUCACAACAUAAACUUUAGGAAUUCAUUAAAGGUGUUUUCAUCUAAAUAGAGCCUAUAGAUUAUAAGAAAAAUAAUUUGACUUUAAUAUAUAUUUUGUUAUAGACAAUGUUGAAGAUAAAAAAAGCUAAUAAAUAUUAUAAAAAUGCUAAAUUUAGCUUUUCACUACAACGAUGUAUAUAACAACCUCGUGGGAACACGGGAAUUUGCCUAAUGUUAUAUUAUAAAAGUGAUCAACAAGAUUACAAGAGGCUUAAUUGAUGAUAUGACUUUAAGCUUCCAUGAACCACUCUCCACUAAACAUCAACUCAUGAUGAAACCUAAUUUUAUCAUAAGGGUAGUAAAUGGUUUGAUUAGUAUAAUAAAAAUACACAUUAUAGUAAUAACAAUUUUCCAUGAGGAUCUUCUUUAAGUUUGAACUUAGAAGGAUUACGAACACGUGGCGGUGAUGGACGAAGAUCCUUUGGAAGAAGUGUUUCAGUGAGAAGUCCAGAUUCAUCAUCUUUAAGAAGAUUCUUAUAACGAAUCAUAUAUCUUCCGUUAUCAAGACAUGAAACAAUUGUGGCUUCAUAGUAUGAACCCAUGAAUCCUUCUUCUUUGCUACAUACUUCACAUUGUAAUCAAUUUUCUUCAUUCGUGGACGCAUGCUUGCAAGAACAAGAAGGUAGUGUGUUAUUCUUAUAUAGUUGAGGUAGUGUGUUGAUCAAGAUUCUCAUAAUAAAUCUUUAGUUGAGCUAAUGUGUUGUUUGAGAUUAAGAUCUUUUAGGAUUAAAAUAAGAUAACUUGUAACCAAUAGUGUGAUUGGAAGGUUUGAUUUCAACUUAACUUGAUUAGGCUUAUAUUUUUACUACCUUUGACAUCAAGAAACUCUUUGCUACGGUAAAAAAAAAAAAACUCUUGCUGAAUAACGUUAAGUACCUCGUAAAAAAAUAAAAAGAUAAGGCUCUCGUAAAAUAUAUAUAUAUUUUUUUUAAUGAAAUCUCGUAAUAAAUCUUUAUUCCACGUAAAGAUAUGCACGGUUGCAAAAGGUAUUCAAAUUUUUUUUUAUUGAUGUUAUUCUAGCAACGUGAUUUGCAUAAUAAGUCAAUAAAAACUUUAAACUUAAAAGUUGAAGUUAUUUGGUAGUAUUUAUUAUUUUUUCUAAUUUAAUUAUCACUUUUAUAGUAAUUAUCACUUUUAAUUAUCACUUUAGAAUUGAUGUAUCUAGACAAUAAUAUAGUCUAAAUACAUAAAUUUUACGAUGAAUCUAAAAAUUAAAUGUUUCUUAUAUAUAGGACCGGAGGGAGUAACCUAAUACUCCCUCCGACCUUAUUUAUAAGCAAAUGUAACUUUUUAGAUUCAUUGAGCAAUUGAUGUAUCUAGCUUAAAUAUAAACUAGAUACAUUGGUUUUUCGAUGAAUCUAAAAAAUAACUUUUGCUUAUAAAUAAGGUCGGAGGAGUAUUUCAAUGCUACAAUAUGUGUGAAGUGUGUUGCUGACACUGUUUGGUGAAGUGGGUGUGUUUUGGUUUUGAAUAUGAAGGUCACUGUGGUUUCUAGGAGUGGAAGAGAGAUUGUUGAAGGUGGAAUUGAGCUCAAAGAUUCUGUAUGUCUUUUUUAAUUUUGUGUUCAUAUUUAGGUUGUUUGUUGUUGUCAUCAAAUGGUAGUUUUUAUUUCUUAGUUUUGGGUUCAUUUUUACAAUUUCAUCGAUAUUGAUAUUUUUCCAUCAUCAAAUCAUAUACCACAUUGUUUAAAACAUAUCACAUUACCAAUUUUUAGACAAAGUAUUUGAUGAAGGUACUAAAACUAUAAAAAAAAAUUAAAUAGGAGGGUCAAUUCUGCAAAACGAUAAAAUAGGGGAUCAAAAGUUCAAUUAGGCCUUUUUAUUUUCGUAGUUCUAUUUGUUUUUGUCAUAAAGAGUACUUUUGAUUUCUUAGGUUGCUUUAUAGGAGCUAGAGUUUAUUUAUAAAAUUUGGAAUUUCUUCUUUUUGUGUAGCCUUUCAAUUGGGAAAUGAGAGAUUUGUUUUCUAAUGUAAUGAUUAUAUAUUUGUUUCUUUGUCGCAGGCUACUGUAGCAGAUUUGCAGGAGGCAAUUCACAAGCGAAGUAAGUGAUCAAAUUUUUUAAUGUAUAAUUUAGUUACAUUUUUUUAAGUAACAUCUAAGAAAAAAAUGUUUCUGUGAAAUCAUGGUCGAUCACGGUGAUUCUGGCGUAUCUACCGCGAUACCAAACAUAUAGGCUAACAUGAUCUGUAUAUUGUUUUGGUUAUUUCUGUGAUGUAUUUUGAACUUGUGUUAUGCCGAGUGAUGAUAGUUGAUAGCAACCUUACCUUAUAGUAAGUUAGUUGUUCAAUUGUUGUUUUCUAUCCUUAUUCCCUACUGUUCACAUUAUGUAAUAAAUAUUAUUUGUUGUAUGUUUGGUUCUGCGGUGAGAAAAAUUGUUUGUCGGUAAUAAAUCUACGGGACAGACGUUGUUUUUCUCACCGCAGAACCAAACAUACACUGUUAGAAAAGAAUGUUUGUCUGUAUUCAUAUGUCUGACUCAAUGUGUUGAAUUGGAUUUCAUGGCUCAUUAACAUGAUUCUUAUGUUUCACUUUAACAGCCAAGAAGCAUCCAUCGAGGCAGCGCUUGACACUUCCUGUCCAACCAGGGUCAAAGGAAAAGCCGGUUGUUCUUAAUUAUAAAAAGAGUCUGAAUGACUAUACAAGUGGAAAGUCAGAAACCUUAACCGUAACAUUCAAGGACUUAGGUCCACAAGUUUCUUAUCGUACACUAUUCUUCUUCGAGUAUUUGGGGCCGUUGCUUCUCUAUCCAGUCUUCUAUUACUUCCCUGUUGUCUACCAGUAUUUUGGCUACAAAGGUGAACGUGUCAUCCACCCUGUGCAGACAUAUGCCUUGUACUAUUGGUGUUUCCAUUACGCCAAACGAAUUCUGGAAACAUUUUUCGUGCAUCGCUUCAGCCAUGCAACCUCCCCCAUUUCCAAUGUUUUCCGCAACUGUUUGUAUUACUGUACCUUUGGCUCGUAUAUUGCUUAUUAUGUGAACCAUCCACUUUAUACCCCCGUAAGUGACCUUCAAAUUAAGAUCGGGUUUGGGUUUGGGAUACUCUGUCAAAUUUCGAAUUUCUAUUGCCAUAUUAUACUGAGGAAUCUCCGUGGACCUGCUGGAGAAGGUGGAUGUCAAAUCCCACGCGGCUUUCUUUUCAAUAUUGUUACUUGUGCAAACUAUACAACAGAGAUCUACCAGUGGUUGGGCUUCAACAUUGCAACGCAAACCAUUGUCGGUUAUAUUUUCCUUGCUGUUGGU